rnacentral:sRNA from 1 species
UUGUUGGUGAGCCGGCGACAGAUGCGGU